rnacentral:rRNA from 1 species
CUCGUAGGUGGUUUGUCACGUUGUCCGUGAAAACUCACAGCUUAACUGUGGGCGUGCGGGCGAUACGGGCAGACUAGAGUACUGUAGGGGAGACUGGAAUUCCUGGUGUAGCGGUGGAAUGCGCAGAUAUCAGGAGGAACACCGGUGGCGAAGGCGGGUCUCUGGGCAGUAACUGACGCUGAGGAGCGAAAGCGUGGGGAGCGAGCA